rnacentral:misc_RNA from 1 species
AAUUCUCAAAACCCCUUCCUUUGCCGGAAUGGAUUUUGGACUUGGAGGCCUUUUGCUGGUUUCACCUCGAAGCCAGCUCCUCCUAAAUGGAUUAGUGGGGUCUGCUUUGCCGAUCCUUGACGUGAUAAGAUGCUUCUACGUCUCGGGUUAUUGGCACUGUGCCUCUGCUUCUAACCGUCUCUUUUGACAACGAUGGUGUUCCGGUCACCGCCGAUUCUUCGGUGGGAGGCUUGACCCACAAAACGA